GGGGUUUGAUAUAACACUAGAUGCCAGUUCUUACAUGUUUUAAUAGCCUGUGAUGCAGAAUUAUUUUUUAUGUUGCUUGUUUGAUUGAGACAAGUCUUCGCUGGUAUGAUUUGAAUUGUGUGACUCCAGGUAUCAAGCUCCACAUUAUGCUGAACAACCAAAGCCACAAUAUCAUUAUCAGCAGCAGCAACUGCCAAAACAAGGUCGCAUCCCAUAUAAUGCUGUUAAUGAAGGUGUUUUCUUGAACUAGUAGUUCUGCAACUGUUCUCUAAGAACUCUGUUCAUUUCAAGCUCAACUCAUUUCCUGUACUUUAAAUGUAGAUUCAUAUGGCCGAGGUAGGGGUCGUGGUAGAGGCAGAGGGAGGGGGCGGAGUUGGGGCAGGGGUGGCUAUGGAAAUUAUCAAGGUAUAAUAUAUGGAUUUUGAGUAGUUUUAUGAUAAUUAUUGACAUUUUUCUUUGAACUUUUACAUUUGUGAAGCAAAAAUUUGCGCUUUAGUUAGACUAUACUUUAUACUUCACUUAUUUCUUAUAGAUAAUGGUGGAUAUUCAAACUGGGGCAGAGGUGGAGGGCGAGGAAGAGGUUGGGGUUAUCGUGGUAAGUAUACUUUUUAAUAGCUUAUUGAAGGAGUGGUAUUUUAUAACUUUGAGAAGUUUUAUAUGCUAAAAUAAAAACAGUUCAUAGGUGAAGGUUCCUUGUCUUAAAUUUGUGAACUUGGGUUUCCUUGCUCCUUCCUCAUCUGUACUCAUCAACCAACCCGUUGUCGAUUUUCACUCCUUUGAAUAUAAAUAAUAUUGCCUACAAUAUAAGGAAUGUAGAACAAAGUUUUGAGAGUAGAUCAAGCAAAAGAAUGUCUAGUUUAGAUGUUAGUUGUAAUGUAGAAUUCAAAGGAAAUUCACAAUGAUGGUACCAAUAAUCUUUUAAUUUGGAAUGGUGGCUUUUGCUUGUUAUAACUUGGUUAUGAGAGCAUGGCAGUUGCACCUAUCAAAGUAGCCAAAAUCUUACUGAAAUAAGUUGUAGAUGCAGAAUAGAAUCAUUGAUGAAUGAAUCUCAAAUUGCUGUAAAAAAUUCAUUUGGCUGUUUUACUGCGGCAGGUGCUGGUUAUGAAAGAGGUAGAGGUGGAGGUGGUAGAGGCUUUAGCCGUGGCCGUGGGAGGAUGGGUGGUGGUGGUCGCUCGAGGGGUGGUGGCUACUGAAGCAUAAUCAAAGACGGAUAAAGUUUGUGUUUUUACCCCCUUUAGCUAGAUGCUUGCUUGCCUUGGCCAGUGGGAAAUUAUGGAAGUAGUUCAGUUUCUAAUAGCGUGAGAUUGUGGCUUAAAAUCUCCAGCACUAUUAAGCAGUGGUAAUGUGUUUGUUUCUGCAUUAUAUGGAUGAGAGGGUAGGGGUAGUUUUGUUGGGUUUUUUUUCGCAUUUAGCCAAGGGCAAGAUGAUGAUGAUGAUGAUGAUGGGUUUAUAUGAUUUGUGCUGUAAUUGAAGUUACCCUUAUGGUUUUGCCAAAUCUCAAAUACCCUAUCAUGUUUAUAUAUAUAUAAUAUGAUUUCUUUAUUCCUUGGAUGUAUAUAUUUGUCUCUCUCAUUUUCUCUUCUGCCCAUCUAGGAGUAAUUCAAGGACAUUCCCAUUAAGGCUAUCGAAUCAAUCGAAGGGAAAGCAUAGCUACUACCUGUAGCAACUUUACCAUGGAACUUUUGCUUAAAGCUGCAUGGACCGAUUAUCCGUGGGAAUUUUAUAUUUUUCCUAAUUUGGUUUAACAGAGCCAUUAAUAUCAUAUUACUACAUUUAGCCGAUAAUUUGAUAUAUCUACUAUCUUACAUACUAUAUUACAUUUGGUAAAAAAAACUUAUUUAAUAACUACAUGUAAUUAGAAAGAAAAGUAAAACUUUUACAAAUAUAUAUAUAUAUAUAUAUUGCUUUUCUAUUCCUCUUAAAAAUAUGAAAGAAACAUAGAUAAAGAAAAAUAAAUAAAAGCAAACAUAUAAUACCUUAAUGGAACUAUAAUAUGAAAGUUCAACUAUACACAAGGCACCUAAGUCCUUUAUUAAUUAGCAGCUUUACUCUGCAUAUUAGCCCAACAAUUUGAGUCUUAAAAUGGAUAUAUACCCUUCAAACUUUUAAAUGUAUGACUAAUUUUGAUGAUUCAAUUAAUGGAGACCAAAAGUACAGAGUAGUUGUGGAUGAAAAAAAGAAAUAAUUAAGCCAUAUUAUGAAAUGACUGAUGGUAGAUGGUUACAUAAAAACAUAUAUUCUUUUAUUACAUAUAUUCUUUUAUUGGGAGUUGAUCAAUGCAUUUUGGAUGAUUUGAAUAUGAUGCUUACUGCUCGAUAUAUGGUAGAGGAAAUCUAUGUUGCUUUAAAAAGUAUAGGACCGACAAAAGCCUCGGGGUUGAUGGUUUUCUGGCCUUAUUUUUUUAGAAACGUUGACAUAUUGUGGGAGAGGAUGUAACCUCAUUCCGCGUUGAGAGUCUUGAAUGAAAGACUGGAGUUGGAACAUAUUAACAAAUAUAGUACUCAUCCCCAAGUGUUGCAUCCAAAAAACAUGGUAAACUUCAGACCUAUAAGUCAUUGUAGUGUUGUCUAUAAAAUGGUAGCUAAUGCAAUAGCAAACCGUUUUCAGUAGGUGUUGGACCUGUGUAUUAAUAAAGCCCAAAGUCUUUUUGUACCAGGGCGUUUGAUUUCUGACGUGUUACUUGCUUAUGAAAUAUUCCAUAUGUUUUGUCAGAAAAGAAAAGGGAGCAAGGGUUUUAUGGCAUUGAAAUUAGAUAUGAGUAAGGCCAUGAUCGAGUGGAAUGAGGCUCUAUAAAGGCAAAGAUGGAACGUAUGGGUUUUGAUGUAAGGUGAGUGGACCUUAUCAUGAAAUGUGCCUCCACAGUGUCAUAUUCAGUGAGCAAUAAAGGAAAAAUGGGUGAGUUUUUUCGGCCUUUUAUGGGGCUUAGACAAGGAGACCCAUUAAGCCAUUUCUUAUUUCUGAUUUGCAAUAAGGGUCUUUCUACCCUUAUGCGCAUGGCUUUGCAGGAGGGUUUGAUUAAAGGGGCAGAAACUAGUAGACGAGGCCCUCAAAUUUCGCAUUUACUUUUUGCCGAUGACUAUGUCCUUUUCGGUGAAGCAAAUGAGAGAGGAAUUCAAGUUUUGAAGGGUAUUUUGAAGGAAUAUAAAUCGUGUUCAGACCAAUGUGUGAAUUAAGACAAAUCAACGGUUUACUAUAGCUCAAAUACCCCAAAAGAAAUUUGAGUGUUGAUUUCGAAAAGGUUGGGAGUUUAGUAUUCAAAUGAUCUUGAGAGGUACCUGGGCUUACCUAACAUGGUGAGGAGACGGAAGAAAGUAGCAUUUCAGCUCUUGAAAGAUAGGUUCAAGAAGAAGAUCGAUGGAUGGAAUUUGAAGUUCAUGUCUCGAAGGGGUAAGGAAGUUUUUAUAAAGUUGGUAUUGCAAACCAAUCCAACUUAUGGCAUGUUUCUUACUACUCAAAACUUUAUGUAGGGAAUUAAAUAGUAUCAUGGCACGGUUCUGAUAGCAAAAGGGACAGGAAAAAAAAGGAAUACAUUGGUGUGAAUGGUCUCGGCUAUGUGAGUUGAAAGAAGAUGGAGGUAUGGGUUUUCACAGCUUUGAGAAAUUCAAUAUUGCCCUAUUGGCAAAACAAGUAGGAAUGAGCAUUCGAUCGAAUCGAAUCGAAAAUUUUCGAGUUAAUCGAAUUUUCGAAUCUCAUUUUAUCAUCCUAACUUUAUUUAAAGUUUUCUCGAAUCGAGUCGAGUGAAAUGGAAUUCGAAUCGAAUCGAAUAUAUUUGUUCGAGUUAAAUUUUAAAAAAUAAUUUUAGGUCCUUGUAACCAUUGUCACCCAUCGUAAUAAAAUUUGUCCACCUUAAUCAAAUUUUUUAUUAACUUUCAUCACUUCAUAAUUUAUUUAUUAAUUUUUUAUAUAUUGAUUAGCUUCUUUGCUUGCUUAGUUAUUUCAAUUAUCUUCAGAUUCUUGUCACUAUGCAUUUUAGAAUUAAAAAUAUAUAUUAACUUUAAAAAUAUGAUUUUUUAAUAAAAGUUAUUUUAUAAAUAAAAUAUGAAAUUGAUACCAAUAUAAAAUUUUAACAUGAAUAUUUUAUGGCAUAAUUAAUAAUUCAAUUUUAAUAUAAAUAUUCAAUAUGACUAAAUAAUUCAAUAAUAUAAAUAAUAUAAAAUGUAAAAUUUAAUUUAAUAAUAUAAAUAGUAGAUAUAAAUAAAAUUAUUACUAUUUAUGUUUAGUGAUUUUUUUUGGAUAAUUUUGAUUUUUUAUUUGAGAGUAAAGGGUGAGAAGUAAAAAUUUAGGGGAAAAAUAAAAAAUUUUGAGGAAUAAAAGUUUGAGGGAAAGUAAACAGGAAGAGUAAAAUUUUGGAAGAAAAAUAUUUAAAAAAAAAUUAGGGGGGGAGGGUUUGGGAUAAAUGGGAGGUGGGAUGAGAAUGGAAUAAAAGUUUUAGGGAAAAGUGGGAAAGAGUAAAAAUUUUGGGAGAAAAUAAAAAGUUUUGAGAGUUUUUGAGAGUAAAAUUUUGAAAAAAAAUAAAUGGAAGAAUAAAAUUUUGAUGGGAAAUAAAUUUUGGGUAAAUUGGGGGUUGAGAGGGGAGGGGAGUAAAAGUUUUGAACAAAAGUAGAAAGGAGUAAAAGUUUUAAGGGAAAAGUAAAAAGAUUUGGGACAUAGGGAUAAAAAUGUAAAAUAUUAUAAUUUAAUAUUCGAAUUAUUUGAAUUAUUUGAAUUAUUCGAAUUCGAAAACUCAACUCGAUUCGAACUCGAAAUUCAAAUUUUUUUUUAAUUUUUUCGAGUCGAAUCGAAUUUUACUCACCCCUAAAAUCAAGGAUGGCAGUUGAUAAAUCGUCUUGAUUCUUUAUUAACUUGCGUGUUAAAAGCAAAAUAUUUUGCUGAUUCUGAUUUUUUAAACGCAUGUUUAGGGAACCAACCAUCCUAUUCGUGGAAGAGUAUAUGGGUAGCAAGAGGUCUUUUGCAAGAUGGUUUUGGAUGGAAGGUUGGUUCGGGGGACAAUAUUUUAAUUUCCGAGCAUGCUUAGAUUCCAGCUUCAGUUGAAUAUCGAUUAUGUGAUAACAUGCAAAGUCAUGAUGUAUCUUUUGUUGCAGAUUUGAUUGAUAAAACUAGCAGAGAAUGGAAAUGGGAAGUAAUUUUCAAUACCUUCUCGGAAAGAGAUGCGGGCAGGAUAUUACAGAUUCCCUUGGAAAAGGAGCGUCAUGACGACCUAGUGGUGUGGCAAGGCGAACCGUUGGGUGAAUUCUUUAUCCGCAGUGCUUAUAAACUAUUACAAGUAAGCAACUUUGGCCCUAAUUUUAAUGCAUUACAGACCGCUACUGAAGCUUUCUAUAAGAAGCUGUGGAACUUACAGCUACCAGCUAAAGUGAAAAUUACAAUCUAGAAAAUUGCAAGAAAAUUUAUUCCUAUUUUCCCAAAUUUGAGACAAAGAAAAUUGGUGGUGAAUAUAGGAUGUCCUCGGUGUGGGGGAGAAUUGGAGUCUGUGGACCAUGUCUUUAAAAAGUGUCCUACAUCAAUAGAAGUCUGGACCUGUUUAGGAGUAAUCUAGGUUUUGAAUAGGCCAGAUUUGGAGUACUUGGAUUGGCCUACUUGAGUUUUUGCGGAAAGCUCUCAACAUCAGAGUCGAAUGUUUGGAUGUGCUCUAUGGACUCUUUGGUCUGAAAGAAAUAAAACAGUACAUGAGAGAAAGCAAAAGUCUGGAAAGGAUAUCUCAGAUACUAUUGGCUGGUAUUUGAGGGAACUAGAUGAUACGGAGGUUAGGCAGUAUAUUAGGAGUAGAACGAAGGCCAAAUAGAGACCCCCAACUGGAUCGAUUGUUAAAAUCAAUUUUGAUGGUGCCUUUGAGAAAGAGAGCUUUAGAUCGUGCUCUGGCAUAGUAGCAAGAAACUCCCAUGGUGAGGUUCUGGUUUCACGAGCAGUUUUUCACCCGAAUGUUGGCUCGCCUUUUGCUGCGGAAGCCAUUGCAUGCUUAUGGACAGUGAAAACAAGUACAAAAAUAGGGUGGUCAAAGGUAAUAAUAGAAGGUAAUGCAUUAACUAUCAUUAAGAUAUGUCAAUCAGAUCAAAUAGAUAGAUCAGAGAUUGGGGUUCAUAUCAGAGAUAUUCAUCAGAUUUCACAACAGUUUGGAUGGAUUCGAUUCAAACACACAAACAAUGUAGCAAAUCAACUAGCCCAUGUUUUAGCUAAUAUGAGUCUAAAAAGAGAGGAACCAACUUACAUGUAUGGAGGAGUCCCCUACUUCACCGUGCGGAGAAUGGAGGCGGAGAGACAGCGUGAACCAGACUGAAAUGGGGUGUGCAGGGAAUUAAAAGGGACGAGGAACGUCAGAUUGGAAAUGGGGUUUGGUUCCUUGGAAGCCGAAACCGUCUACUUUUUGAAAAGUGUUGAUUUGAAAGCGCGGUUUCUGCAUUAAAUGUGGUUGGGUAGGAAAAUCAUAUCCUUUGGUU
rnacentral:lncRNA from 1 species